UACGGAGGGUGCAAGCGUUAUCCGGAUUCACUGGGUUUAAAGGGUGCGUAGGUGGGUCUGUAAGUCCGUGGUGAAAUCUCUGAGCUUAACUCGGAAACUGCCAUGGAUACUAUAGAUCUUGAAUACCGUGGAGGAUAGCGGAAUAUGUCAUGUAGCGGUGAAAUGCUUAGAUAUGACAUAGAACACCAAUUGCGAAGGCAGCUGUCUACCCGAAUAUUGACACUGAGGCACGAAAGCGUGGGGAUCAAACAGG
rnacentral:rRNA from 1 species